rnacentral:misc_RNA from 1 species
UUAAAAAGCAUUCCAGAUAAAGCCACGUUUAAAGAAAAACAUCGCAAGAAAAAUUCGUGUAUGUGAGUUCUACACAAUAAAAUUACAACUUUAACCAAGUGGGAGCGUUACAACACCCCCUCAUCAAAAGUACAAGUAUUUUGGCUGUGUUUUGUUGUUAGUAGUUAUGUACGUUUACUUGUAUAUAAUUAAUCAAUAGCAAUCAAUACCAAUUACCGCCUUUUUAACAAUAGUUGUGUGGCGUGUUAUUUAAAUUGAAAAAGUAUUUUGGUCGACAAUGGCGUCCUGUGAACAAGACCUUAAAUCGUGUGACGUAGAGAUGUUGAAUAAAUUAGUGGAAAUACCUGCAAAUAAAUGGCCAGUAUUACGUGAUUUGUAUACAAAACGUAAAGAUCGUGCUGCUUGUUACAAUCUGUUACAAUCUUUUAUCAGCUGGAAGAACAAGGAACCAGAAUUGGAAUUAACUAUAUAUUCACUUAAUGGCGAUUGGGAAGCAGAUGGUACAUUUAUUGCAAAGUUUUUAAAUCAAAUAUUUUUCAAUACAUGCUCUGAUAAUGUACAACAAGUAUUAAAAGCUUUAAAAUGUCUGGAUCCCUCGGAAUAUUAUGUCUUAUCGGGAUAUCAAGACUUCCUGGUACCUGUAGUAAAGCAAUAUUUAAAAGACUGUGGUUUCGAUGAGGCAGAUUAUAAUCCUACCAGUACCUUUUGGUAUCAUAUACCCAAAGAGCAGGCUAAACAAUUUCAAAUCGAACCUCCCAACAAUAUAGAACUAAAGCCCCUAGAAGAAUGUCAUGUAGAACAAAUAAACAACAUGUGGUCCCAUAGAUUACCGUACUCAGUUGAAAUGAUCACCACACUAAUACGUCAUAAUGAAUCUGUUGGUAUAUUCGAAGAUGAAAAUUUAGUGGGAUGGUGUUUAAUACGCCCAUUAGGAUCUCUUGGUCUACUGCGCAUAUUGGACUCUCACAAACGCAGGGGUCUCGGUAAUUUGGCUGUUCGUUAUUUGUCAAAAUUUUUGGCUGACAAUGAUAUUGAAGUGGCAGCUACAGUGGUUUUUGAUAAUGUGCCAUCUUGUUCCAUGUUUGAUAAACUGGGUUUCAAAGUUAUCGAUAAAGUGUAUUGGGUCGAUAAACCGGCAAAUAAAUGAAUUUCAAUUGUCAAAAAAAGUUUUCAUAUCCUUAAAACGAAUACUGUAAUGCUGACAUCGCACGAUGGGCCAUUGGUCUAAGUUAUUGUGAUAAGAAAGCCGAAAGCAUACUAAACUGAAAUUUAGCUACGCAAAAUGGCGGUUCCAAUAUUAUGCAUAUUUUUUUUUAAAUAUUUGUCUUUAACAUGCAUUUAAAUUGUUGAUAUUUUGAAAAUAUUUUUCGUUAAUUUGAAAAAUAUUGAAUUUAGCUACGUGAUCAGCGAUAUGAUUUCGUAAUUAGAUUCCAACUAUUCUAAUUAUAGUAUUCAGUAUAAAUAAAUUCACAAAACAAAAAUCCCUUAACGAAGUGUAAAACAAAUACAUAAGACGGCCAAGUUUAAGGAUUUUAAAAUGUACUUUUGAUCACAAACAAAAGAUAUAGAAAUUCUGGCCCAUCGUGCGCAAAUGUAUUGCAUACAAAUAAAAGGCAAUUUAUCGUUGAAGCAUGUAGCUUUCUUAAAAUUUUACAGGACAUCAUUUUUAAUGAACGGGCAACGAUAUUUAAGCUACAGUAAGUAUACAUCAGCGAGGAAGGUGAAAACUUAUUUAGAAAUAAUGUUGAAAAAAAGUAAUAAUAAUAAUAAUAAUAAUAAUAAUGAUAGAAAUGUUAAAUUAUAAAUUCAAUAAAGUUUAAACAAAUUUA